GCGGGCGUAGCUCACCAGGUAGAGUGACAGCUUCCCAAGCUGUAGGUAGGGGGUUCGAGACCCCUCGCCCGCU
rnacentral:tRNA from 1 species